CGGGGGCGGGAGCGCUGCGGCCUGGGGGCGCUCGGCGGAGUCACCCCGGAAAGGCUCCCGGGAGCUGUCCCCCUGCCGAGGGACAGAGACGCGUCCCCUGCCGAAGGGAGCGCGCUUUCGAGUGGUUGGGCCGGGCCGCCCAAAGCUCUGCCGCGGGAUGCUCCCGAGCCGCCGCCCGCUAAAGGGCACCCGCUACACCCCGACGAGCUGCUGUGUAACCAUCCCUUCUGCCGCUCCGGGGGAUUGCUGAGUGCUAGGGCAGGUUUCAAAUUGUGUGACCCAUUGUGUAAAGAACAUGCUGAGAAUGCAGCUGCUUCUGGGACAGGCUUCAUCACAGUGAAGUGGAAGGGGAAUUUUUGAAGAAAAUGAAGGAGCACAUGUAAAGCCCUGUCCUGGGGUGAUUUUAUGAUGCUAAAUUAUAUCCCCAUUUGCCUGUUUAGCCCAGAAAUAAGUUUUGUGACUUUAAAACUGGUCCUGAGAGUUAAGUGGGGGGGAAGAAGUGCACCAUUUGUUUUCAGAAACUGCACUUUGUCCCCUGUUCUCUUUCUCAUGAACUAUGUUGUCUGCAGCUUUUAGUUAAUUUUUUUAGCUAGCUGAGGCAGAGAAGUUCCCCAGAUUGUGGCAUUUCUUCUUCUUGGAACUUCUUGGUUGGAACUGAUCCACUUGCUUUGGACUGAAAACCCAGAAGAACACGGGGAGCUCACACCUAUGGCCCACCAGGGCCAAGGACAUGGCAUUUUCUAGCACAGGAGGGACUGAGUGAACUGAGCCACACCCCACAAAAAGAACUCUCUCUCUGAAUUUGCCAUCUCUUCAGAACAAUGAGAGAUUCCAUUGUUUGAUAUUAUUCUUUUUUUUUUUUUCAUGUUUGUAAAUACUUUGCUUGUUAAAUAAA